rnacentral:pre_miRNA from 1 species
GCCGAUGGACGUCUUACCAGGCACGGUUAGAUCUGGGUUCUGUUGUCUAAUACUGUCUGGUAAUGCCGUCCAUCCAU